rnacentral:rRNA from 1 species
UACACUCCUACGGGAGGCAGCAGUGGGGAAUUUUGGACAAUGGGCGGAAGCCUGAUCCAGCAAUGCCGCGUGUGUGAAGAAGGCCUUCGGGUUGUAAAGCACUUUUGUCCGGAAAGAAAUCCUUGGCUCUAAUACAGUCGGGGGAUGACGGUACCGGAAGAAUAAGCACCGGCUAACUACGUGCCAGCAGCCGCGGUAAUACGUAGGGUGCGAGCGUUAAUCGGAAUUACUGGGCGUAAAGCGUGCGCAGGCGGUUUGCUAAGACCGAUGUGAAAUCCCCGGGCUCAACCUGGGAACUGCAUUGGUGACUGGCAGGCUAGAGUAUGGCAGAGGGGGGUAGAAUUCCACGUGUAGCAGUGAAAUGCGUAGAGAUGUGGAGGAAUACCGAUGGCGAAGGCAGCCCCCUGGGCCAAUACUGACGCUCAUGCACGAAAGCGUGGGGAGCAAACAGGAUUAGAUACCCGAGUAGUCC